rnacentral:rRNA from 1 species
CCCUGGCUCAGGACGAACGCUGGCGGCGUGCCUAAUACAUGCAAGUCGAGCGGGUUUAUCCUUCGGGAUAAGCUAGCGGCGGACGGGUGAGUAACACGUAGGUAACCUGCCUUUAAGACUGGGAUAACUAUCGGAAACGAUAGCUAAGACCGGAUAACUGGUUUUCUCGCAUGAGAGAAUCAUAAAACACGGAGCAAUCUGUGGCUUAAAGAUGGGCCUGCGGCGCAUUAGCUAGUUGGUGAGGUAACGGCUCACCAAGGCGACGAUGCGUAGCCGACCUGAGAGGGUGAACGGCCACACUGGGACUGAGACACGGCCCAGACUCCUACGGGAGGCAGCAGUAGGGAAUCUUCCGCAAUGGACGCAAGUCUGACGGAGCAACGCCGCGUGAGUGAUGAAGGUUUUCGGAUCGUAAAGCUCUGUUGCCCUAGACGAACAGCAUGAGGAGUAACUGCCUUGUGUGUGACGGUAUAGGAGAAGAAAGCCCCGGCUAACUA